rnacentral:rRNA from 1 species
GACGAACGCUGGCGGCGUGCUUAACACAUGCAAGUCGAACGGAAAGGCCCUGCUUUUGUGGGGUGCUCGAGUGGCGAACGGGUGAGUAACACGUGAGUAACCUGCCCUUGACUUUGGGAUAACUUCAGGAAACUGGGGCUAAUACCGGAUAGGAGCUCCUGCUGCAUGGUGGGGGUUGGAAAGUUUCGGCGGUUGGGGAUGGACUCGCGGCUUAUCAGCUUGUUGGUGGGGUAGUGGCUUACCAAGGCUUUGACGGGUAGCCGGCCUGAGAGGGUGACCGGCCACGUUGGGACUGAGAUACGGCCCAGACUCCUACGGGAGGCAGCAGUGGGGAAUAUUGCACAAUGGGCGGAAGCCCGAUGCAGCAACGCCGCGUGCGGGAUGACGGCCUUCGGGUUGUAAACCGCUUUCGCCUGUGACGAAGCGUGAGUGACGGUAAUGGGUAAAGAAGCACCGGCUAACUACGUG